rnacentral:rRNA from 1 species
AACGAACGCUGGCGGCAUGCCUAACACAUGCAAGUCGAACGAUCCCUUCGGGGAUAGUGGCGCACGGGUGCGUAACGCGUGGGAAUCUGCCCUUGGCUUCGGAAUAACAGUUAGAAAUGACUGCUAAUACCGGAUGAUGUCUUCGGACCAAAGAUUUAUCGGCCAGGGAUGAGCCCGCGUAGGAUUAGGUAGUUGGUGGGGUAAAGGCCUACCAAGCCGACGAUCCUUAGCUGGUCUGAGAGGAUGAUCAGCCACACUGGGACUGAGACACGGCCCAGACUCCUACGGGAGGCAGCAGUGGGGAGUAUUGGACAAUGGGCGCAAGCCUGAUCCAGCAAUGCCGCGUGAGUGAUGAAGGCCUUAGGGUCGUAAGGCUCUUUUACCCGGGAUGAUAAUGACAGUACCGGGAGAAUAAGCUCCGGCUAACUCCGUGCCAGCAGCCGCAGUAA